AUGCUCACUUUGGAAGCAUAUAUACUAAAAUUAGAGUAAUACAGAGAGAAUUAGCAUGACCCAUGCUCAAGGAUAAAACCCAAAUUUGUGAAAUGUUCCAUAUUUUU
rnacentral:snRNA from 1 species